GUGGGGAAUCUUCCGCAAUGGACGAAAGUCUGACGGAGCGACGCCGCGUGAGUGAAGAAGGCCUUCGGGUCGUAAAGCUCUGUCAUCAGGGACGAACGGCCGGUGGAGUGGAAAGCCACCGGAUUGACGGUACCUGAGAAGGAAGCCACGGCUAACUACGUGCCAGCAGCCGCGGUAAUACGUAGGUGGCAAGCGUUGUCCGGAAUUAUUGGGCGUAAAGCGCGCGCAGGUGGGAUCUUAAGUCCAUUUUGAAAGUUCGGAGCUCAACUCCGGGGUGGGAUGGAAACUGGGAUUCUUGAGUACCGGGGAGGAAAGCGGAAUUCCCCGUGUAGCGGUGAAAUGCGUAGAUAUGGGGAGGAACACCAGUGGCGAAGGCGGCCACCUGGACAGGUACUGACGCUGAGGCGCGAAAGCGUGGGGAGCAAACAGGAUUAGAUACCCCUGUAGUCC
rnacentral:rRNA from 1 species